CUUUGCAUGGAAAAACAUCAACAUGCAACCAAAUGCUAAAUUGAAAGAAAGAGAAAGAAACUUGAACUCUCAAAUCAAUCCUGGAAAUGCAGCACAAUAGCUCCUCUUUCAGUCCUUUACAGAUAGUACAUCUAAAACGCAC